GCGUUCGUAGCUCAACGGACAGAGCGUCACGUUGCGGACGUGAAGGUUGUGAGUUCGAUUCUCACCGGACGCA
rfam:Candidatus Woesebacteria bacterium RIFCSPLOWO2_01_FTLL_39_21 rifcsplowo2_01_scaffold_1041, whole genome shotgun sequence.